CCUACGGGGGGCAGCAGUGGGGAAUAUUGCACAAUGGGGGAAACCCUGAUGCAGCGAUGCCGCGUGGAGGAAGAAGGUUUUCGGAUUGUAAACUCCUUUUAUCAGGGACGAUAAUGACGGUACCUGAAGAAAAAGCUCCGGCUAACUACGUGCCAGCAGCCGCGGUAAUACGUAGGGAGCGAGCGUUGUCCGGAAUUACUGGGUGUAAAGGGAGCGUAGGCGGGACGGCAAGUCAGAUGUGAAAACUGAGGGCUCAACCUUCAGACUGCAUUUGAAACUGCUGUUCUUGAGUGAAGUAGAGGUAA
rnacentral:rRNA from 1 species